rnacentral:rRNA from 1 species
AGCGAACGCUGGCGGCAGGCUUAACACAUGCAAGUCGAGCGGGCAUAGCAAUAUGUCAGCGGCAGACGGGUGAGUAACGCGUGGGAACGUACCUUUUGGUUCGGAACAACACAGGGAAACUUGUGCUAAUACCGGAUAAGCCCUUACGGGGCAAGAUUUAUCGCCGAAAGAUCGGCCCGCGUCUGAUUAGCCAGUUGGUGAGGUAAUGGCUCACCAAGGCGACGAUCAGUAGCUGGUCUGAGAGGAUGCUCAGCCACAUUGGGACUGAGACACGGCCCAAACUCCUACGGGAGGCAGCAGUGGGGAAUAUUGGACAAUGGGCGCAGGCCUGAUCCAGCCAUGCCGCGUGAGUGGUGAAGGCCCUAGGGUUGUAAAGCUCUUUUGUGCGGGAAGAUAAUGACGGUACCGCAAGAAUAAGCCCCGGCUAACUUCGUGCCAGCAGCCGCAGUAA